GAUGAACGCUGGCGGCGUGCCUAAUACAUGCAAGUCGAGCGAACAGACGAGGAGCUUGCUCCUCUGACGUUAGCGGCGGACGGGUGAGUAACACGUGGAUAACCUACCUAUAAGACUGGGAUAACUUCGGGAAACCGGAGCUAAUACCGGAUAAUAUAUUGAACCGCAUGGUUCAAUAGUGAAAGACGGUUUUGCUGUCACUUAUAGAUGGAUCCGCGCCGCAUUAGCUAGUUGGUAAGGUAACGGCUUACCAAGGCAACGAUGCGUAGCCGACCUGAGAGGGUGAUCGGCCACAAUGGAACUGAGACAAGGUCCAGACUCCUACGGGAGGCAGCAGUAGGGAAUAUUCCGCAAUGGGCGAAAGCAUGACGGAGCAACGCCGCGUGAGUGAUGAAGGUCUUCGGAUCGUAAAACUCUGUUAUUAGGGAAGAACAAAUGUGUAAGUAACUAUGCACGUCUUGACGGUACCUAAUCAGAAAGCCACGGCUAACUACGUG
rnacentral:rRNA from 1 species